GGGUAAGGAGUCAGGCUUAGCGAAGGCCGAGGCCAUUGAGCGGGGAUCGACGUAGGAAGGGUUUUCAGGAUGGAACCCCUGGAAAAGCUGGAUGAAGAUUUUGAUUUGGACAGUGAUCAGGAUUGUGACCUGAGGCCAAUUGAUAGUGAUGACAGUGAUGACGAAUUCUCGCCGGAUCUUAUUGAACGCCUCCGGAGAUUUGGAACACAACUUCCGCCGAAGAAACGCAAGCGUGAAAAGAAAGGUCAGUGGUUGUUCCUGAUAGUCCCUAGUCGCUUUGCCUCCUAUCAGGCAUUGUGCACUUUUUCACUUCGAGCUUUUCCAUUCAUGCCGGAAGACGUCCUCCU